rnacentral:rRNA from 1 species
AGAACGAACGCUGGCGGCAUGCCUAAUACAUGCAAGUCGAACGAACACUUCGGUGUUAGUGGCGCACGGGUGCGUAACGCGUGGGAAUCUGCCCUUGGGUUCGGAAUAACAGUUGGAAACGACUGCUAAUACCGGAUGAUAUCGAAAGAUCAAAGAUUUAUCGCCCAGGGAUGAGCCCGCGUAGGAUUAGCUAGUUGGUGAGGUAAAGGCUCACCAAGGCGAGGAUCCUUAGCUGGUCUGAGAGGAUGAUCAGCCACACUGGGACUGAGACACGGCCCAGACUCCUACGGGAGGCAGCAGUAGGGAAUAUUGGACAAUGGGCGCAAGCCUGAUCCAGCAAUGCCGCGUGAGUGAUGAAGGCUUAGGGUUGUAAAGCUCUUUUACCCGAGAUGAUAAUGACAGUAGUCGGGAAGAAGUAACGCCCCGGACUAACCUCCGUGCCAGCCAGCCGC